GAUGAACGCUGGCGGCGUGCUUAACACAUGCAAGUCGAACGGAAAGGCCCAAGCUUGCUUGGGUACUCGAGUGGCGAACGGGUGAGUAACACGUGGGUGAUCUGCCCUGCACUUCGGGAUAAGCCUGGGAAACUGGGUCUAAUACCGGAUAGGACCACAUUCUGGAUGGUGUGGUGGAAAGUUUUUCGGUGUGGGAUGAGCUCGCGGCCUAUCAGCUUGUUGGUGGGGUAAUGGCCUACCAAGGCGUCGACGGGUAGCCGGCCUGAGAGGGUGUACGGCCACAUUGGGACUGGGAUACGGCCCAGACUCCUACGGGAGGCAGCAGUAGGGAAUAUUACACAAUGGGAGCAAGCCUGAUGCAGCGACGCCGCGUGGGGGAUGACGGCCUUCGGGUUGUAAACUCCUUUCGCUAGGGACGAAGCGUUAUGUGACGGUACCUGGAGAAGAAGCACCGGCUAACUACGUG
rnacentral:rRNA from 1 species